rnacentral:lncRNA from 1 species
AUAUCGUCAAUCGAAAUUUUCCUUUCUUUUCAACUAAUUAUUUCUUUAAUUGCCUAAAUGUAAAAUUAUCCAAUGUUUUCAGCGAAGAAAGUGCACUGACCGUUAGUUCAUUAAUGGCAAUGUUCGAUCAUUCACUUGUACAUAUCCUUUUCUUUCUUUGUAUUUGAAUUGAUUAUUAAUUCUUCACUAGCAUAAUGAAUUUUGUCAACUGCUCCAGUUUUGUCACCAGUUUAUAUUUACAAUCCUGUUGAC